UACGUAGGGUGCGAGCGUUAAUCGGAAUUACUGGGCGUAAAGCGUGCGCAGGCGGUUUUGUAAGCCAGAUGUGAAAGCCCCGGGCUUAACCUGGGAAUGGCAUUUGGGACUGCAAGGCUUGAGUGCGGCAGAGGAGACUGGAAUUCCUGGUGUAGCAGUGAAAUGCGUAGAUAUCAGGAGGAACACCUGAGGCGAAGGCGGGCUACUGGGCCGAUACUGACGCUGAUGCGCGAAAGCCAGGGGAGCAAACGGG
rnacentral:rRNA from 1 species